GGUUAAGCGACUAAGCGUACACGGUGGAUGCCCUGGCAGUCAGAGGCGAUGAAGGACGUGCUAAUCUGCGAUAAGCGUCGGUAAGGUGAUAUGAACCGUUAUAACCGGCGAUUUCCGAAUGGGGAAACCCAGUGUGUUUCGACACACUAUCAUUAACUGAAUCCAUAGGUUAAUGAGGCGAACCGGGGGAACUGAAACAUCUAAGUACCCCGAGGAAAAGAAAUCAACCGAGAUUCCCCCAGUAGCGGCGAGCGAACGGGGAGGAGCCCAGAGCCUGAAUCAGUGUGUGUGUUAGUGGAAGCGUCUGGAAAGGCGCGCGAUACAGGGUGACAGCCCCGUACACAAAAAUGCACAUGCUGUGAGCUCGAUGAGUAGGGCGGGACACGUGGUAUCCUGUCUGAAUAUGGGGGGACCAUCCUCCAAGGCUAAAUACUCCUGACUGACCGAUAGUGAACCAGUACCGUGAGGGAAAGGCGAAAAGAACCCCGGCGAGGGGAGUGAAAAAGAACCUGAAACCGUGUACGUACAAGCAGUGGGAGCACGCUUAGGCGUGUGACUGCGUACCUUUUGUAUAAUGGGUCAGCGACUUAUAUUCUGUAGCAAGGUUAACCGAAUAGGGGAGCCGAAGGGAAACCGAGUCUUAACUGGGCGUUAAGUUGCAGGGUAUAGACCCGAAACCCGGUGAUCUAGCCAUGGGCAGGUUGAAGGUUGGGUAACACUAACUGGAGGACCGAACCGACUAAUGUUGAAAAAUUAGCGGAUGACUUGUGGCUGGGGGUGAAAGGCCAAUCAAACCGGGAGAUAGCUGGUUCUCCCCGAAAGCUAUUUAGGUAGCGCCUCGUGAAUUCAUCUCCGGGGGUAGAGCACUGUUUCGGCAAGGGGGUCAUCCCGACUUACCAACCCGAUGCAAACUGCGAAUACCGGAGAAUGUUAUCACGGGAGACACACGGCGGGUGCUAACGUCCGUCGUGAAGAGGGAAACAACCCAGACCGCCAGCUAAGGUCCCAAAGUCAUGGUUAAGUGGGAAACGAUGUGGGAAGGCCCAGACAGCCAGGAUGUUGGCUUAGAAGCAGCCAUCAUUUAAAGAAAGCGUAAUAGCUCACUGGUCGAGUCGGCCUGCGCGGAAGAUGUAACGGGGCUAAACCAUGCACCGAAGCUGCGGCAGCGACGCUUAUGCGUUGUUGGGUAGGGGAGCGUUCUGUAAGCCUGUGAA
rnacentral:rRNA from 1 species